rnacentral:rRNA from 1 species
UUAGAGUUUGAUCCUGGCUCAGGAUGAACGCUGGCGGCGUGCCUAAUACAUGCAAGUCGAGCGAACAGACGAGGAGCUUGCUCCUCUGACGUUAGCGGCGGACGGGUGAGUAACACGUGGAUAACCUACCUAUAAGACUGGGAUAACUUCGGGAAACCGGAGCUAAUACCGGAUAAUAUAUUGAACCGCAUGGUUCAAUAGUGAAAGACGGUUUUGCUGUCACUUAUAGAUGGAUCCGCGCCGCAUUAGCUAGUUGGUAAGGUAACGGCUUACCAAGGCAACGAUGCGUAGCCGACCUGAGAGGGUGAUCGGCCACACUGGAACUGAGACACGGUCCAGACUCCUACGGGAGGCAGCAGUAGGGAAUCUUCCGCAAUGGGCGAAAGCCUGACGGAGCAACGCCGCGUGAGUGAUGAAGGUCUUCGGAUCGUAAAACUCUGUUAUUAGGGAAGAACAAAUGUGUAAGUAACUAUGCACGUCUGACGNCCAUC